rnacentral:lncRNA from 1 species
GUUGUUCCACAAUAUUUCCAUUUCUAUCAUUUCCAAACUCUUUCAAUACAAGUUCCUCAACUUCCACCACAAAGUGUUACCACACAAGUAUACGUCACAAGAGUUUCACAAUGAUCCCCACAUGAAUGUCAAUUUUCAAACAAUUUCACAAACUAACACAGGGUGAUUUCACAAGGAUCACAGUUAGCCACACAUACCCGGAGUUGAU